rnacentral:rRNA from 1 species
UUUUCUCCGGGUUUUUUAUCUGCCGGAGGUCAUUGCUAUUGGAGUCCGAUUUAGCCAUGCUAGUUGCACGAGUUNAGACUCGUAGCAGAUAGCUCAGUAACACGUGGCCAAACUACCCUAUGGAUCCGAAUAACCUCGGGAAACUGAGGCUAAUGCGGAAUAGCGUUCAUCGCCUGGAGUGGCACGAACGCGAAACGUUACGGCGCCAUAGGAUGUGGCUGCGGCCGAUUAGGUAGACGGUGGGGUAACGGCCCACCGUGCCCAUAAUCGGUACGGGUUGUGAGAGCAAGAGCCCGGAGACGGUAUCUGAGACAAGAUACCGGGCCCUACGGGGCGCAGCAGGCGCGAAACCUUUACACUGCACGCGAGUGCGAUAAGGGGACUCCGAGUGCGAGGGCAUAUAGUCCUCGCUUUUCACGACCGUAAGGUGGUCGUAGAAUAAGUGCUGGGCAAGACCGGUGCCAGCCGCCGCGGUAAUACCGGCAGCACGAGUGAUGACCGCUAUUAUUGGGCCUAAAGCGUCCGUAGCUGGCCACGCAAGUCUAUCGGGAAAUCCGCGCGCUUAACGCGCGGGCGUCCGGUGGAAACUGCGUGGCUUGGGACCGGAAGACCAGAGGGGUACGUCCGGGGUAGGAGUGAAAUCCCGUAAUCCUGGACGGACCACCGGUGGCGAAAGCGCCUCUGGAAGACGGAUCCGACGGUGAGGGACGAAAGCUCGGGUCACGAACCGGAUUAGAUACCCGGGUAGUCCGAGCUGUAAACGAUGUCUGCUAGGUGUGGCACAGGCUACGAGCCUGUGCUGUGCCGUAGGGAAGCCGUGAAGCAGACCGCCUGGGAAGUACGUCCGCAAGGAUGAAACUUAAAGGAAUUGGCGGGGGAGCACUACAACCGGAGGAGCCUGCGGUUUAUUGAUC